rnacentral:sRNA from 1 species
AACAGUUAAGGAAGGGUGGGGUUUGGUGUGUCGUCUAUAGAGGAUGAAAAAGAAUCUGUAGGCAAGUGAUCGUUACUAGAAGAUGAUAAUUCUGAUAAAGCUGCAUGGAAGGUCAAAUGAUAGGACAAAAACUGUACAUCACACUACUGCUUGAUGUACUCUUGUUUGGUUAAAGUUUUGGGUAGGUGUGCACGUUUCUUUUAUUUCUUUUAUUAAUUCUAUGAUUUGAAAAUAAGUUUUUCCUGCAGAACUAAAUUGAAAAUAAUUUCUCUCAAUAGACUUGACCAAUGUUUUCAAAUUUAAUAACAAAUUAGGAGGAUAAAAAAUUUAGAAAAAAUAUAUUUAUAUAAGAUAAAAU